rnacentral:lncRNA from 1 species
AGGAAGAAAACUUAAAACAAUAAAGACUGUAGCUUAUUUUGAGAGUUAAAAUAGCCCUGAAUAUGGAUAUAGGAAAAUUAAAAAAAAUCGCUAAAGGCAAAGUCUCCAUCCAAAGUCAUAUCUAUUAAUGUGUACUUAACCCUAUUGCCUAGGAGAUUUUAUUAAAUGCAGUGGCCAAGAAAUUGACCUCACUUUUUUUUCCUUUUUUGGUUUGGAUCCGUGCUCCCAUCACAUAAAUGAAUAGAGCUGGCGAUUUACUGGUUCAUCAAUGAAACAAUAUUAUAUUAUGAAGAUGUAAGAAAAAUUCCUGUGCUCACCUUGUUGAAGUUUGAAAGUUUUCUAGGGAGCCCUAUAAUAUUCAGAAGAGGAUAGAGAAGGAGACUCCCAGAGCUGAAAGGGAUGAUGAAUAUAUACAGCA